AACGAACGCUGGCGGCAUGCCUAACACAUGCAAGUCGAACGAGACCUUCGGGUCUAGUGGCGCACGGGUGCGUAACGCGUGGGAACCUGCCCUUAGGUUCGGAAUAACUCCCCGAAAGGGGUGCUAAUACCGGAUAAUGUCCUCGGACCAAAGAUUUAUCGCCUUUGGAUGGGCCCGCGUUGGAUUAGCUAGUUGGUAGGGUAAAAGCCUACCAAGGCGACGAUCCAUAGCUGGUCUGAGAGGAUGAUCAGCCACACUGGGACUGAGACACGGCCCAGACUCCUACGGGAGGCAGCAGUGGGGAAUAUUGGACAAUGGGCGAAAGCAUGAUCCAGCAAUGCCGCGUGAGUGAUGAAGGCCUUAGGGUUGUAAAGCUCUUUUACCCGGGAUGAUAAUGACAGUACCGGGAGAAUAAGCUCCGGCUAACUCCGUG
rnacentral:rRNA from 1 species